rnacentral:rRNA from 1 species
AUACUCCUGAUUGACCGAUAGUGAACCAGUACCGUGAGGGAAAGGCGAAAAGAACCCCGGCGAGGGGAGUGAAAUAGAACCUGAAACCGUGUACGUACAAGCAGUGGGAGCACCUUUAGGGGUGUGACUGCGUACCUUUUGUAUAAUGGGUCAGCGACUUAUAUUCUGUAGCAAGGUUAACCGUAUAGGGGAGCCGUAGGGAAACCGAGUCUUAACUGGGCGAAUGAGUUGCAG